rnacentral:tRNA from 1 species
GCCCCGGUGGCUCAGCGGUUAGAGCAACGGCCUCGUAUGUAUUAAGGGAGAGCCGUGGGUCGCGGGUUCAAAUCCCGCCCGGGGCUCCA